rnacentral:rRNA from 1 species
AGAGGUGGCAAGCGUUGUUUGGAAUUACUGGGCGUAAAGGGCGCGUAGGCGGUCCGAUAAGUCCCGUGUGAAAUCCCUCGGCUCAACUGAGGAAUGGCACGGGAAACUGACGGGCUUGAGUUCGGGAGAGGGAAGCGGAAUUCCGGGUGUAGCGGUGAAAUGCGUAGAUAUCCGGAGGAACACCGGUGGCGAAGGCGGCUUCCUGGACCGACACUGACGCUGAGGCGCGAAAGCUAGGGGAGCAAACGGGAUUAGAUACCCCGGUAGUCCUAGCUGUAAACGAUGAGUGCUGGGUGUAGGGGGUAUCUGCCCCCCCUGUGCCGAAGCUAACGCAUUAAGCACUCCGCCUGGGGAGUACGGUCGCAAGGCUG